rnacentral:rRNA from 1 species
UACGUAGGGUGCAAGCGUUGUCCGGAAUUAUUGGGCGUAAAGAGCUUGUAGGCGGUUUGUCGCGUCUGCCUGUGAAAAUUUCGGGGCUCAACCCCGAACUUGCAGUGGGUGACGGGCAGACUAGAGUGUGGUAGGGGAGACUGGAAUUCCUGGUGUAGCGGUGAAAUGCGCAGAUAUCAGGAGGAACACCGAUGGCGAAGGCAGGUCUCUGGGCCAUAACUGACGCUGAGAAGCGAAAGGCAUGGGGAGCGAACAGG